CAAAUCCCAUGACCAUACCAAGUGUCCUUAUUGAAAGACUGGCUGCACUGAUCAUCUGGGUUAUAUUGAAUUCAGUGUGAUGGUGGAGCAGAUGGUAUUCACCAACUUUUUCCUGGGGAGUAGCUGGGGAGUAGCUGGAGAACCUAGUGGGAUGGACCUGUGGGCUUGGAGGUAGACCUCACCUGUUUGUCCUGUGGACUAAAUCUAUGCUGAGCAUACAAAAUGUUAGAUGUAUCCAUGUAGCCUCCACCCCCAAAUCUUUAGACAAAGGCCAAACCCAAAGUAAAAUGUCUGCUAGGCAUAACUGGGCAGAUCCCUGGUAUACAGGCAGCCCAGCUCAGGGAGCUGAGAGAAGGGAGGAUUGGAUAGAGCAACAUGCACACAUGAUGACUGGCUUUGUUACAACCCAGAAGACAGAACUGGCUGUGUCUCGACCUAAGAGACAGAGCAGGUACUCAGGUGGGCAGGCCAGCGGGACUUCCUGAGGCAGUGUGGCCUGACCUUGAAGGACAUGGCAACAUUCCCAUCGGGAACCCCAGCCCUUUGCAGCGCAGCCUCUUGAGACAAGGCCUUCGGCGACAGUGAGAAGAAAGUUGCCACAUCUGCCACACCUUAGCCCUAGAACGAAGCAGUGCUGUUGUUUCUGUUUCGUUCGGCUGCAACCUGUGCUUAAGAUAGCCUGGCUCUGCGGGGCCCGGGAGGGCUGAGCUCAGUUCAGAGGAGCUGUGUGCUCCAAUGGGAAGAUUACCCAGAACACUGGCCUGGAAAGACAGUUCUCAGCACUCGCCCUCCCUUCUGUGGACACUCCCCACAGGCGUCAGUCUCAGACUGUCUUUCUCUAAGGCCCUGGGGGCUAUGAAGUCUGUGACCUGGAUGUUGUGGGACCACAGCCUGAUGUGCUGAUUUUGUCCUGUGACAAGUACCUAAGGACCCAGCGUAAAGUGUCUUCUUACCUCCCCAGAUCUUCCUAUAAUCCUCUUGGCUGAGAUAGCUGGGUUCUUGGCUGCGGGGCACCAUAGAUUGGAAUGCUGUGGACUAUGUGGGGAGAGGCCCCUUAAGGAAACAGGUGCUGUUGAUAUCAUCAACAGCUCGAGCAAACCAACACAGCCAGAAGGAGCUGUCUCAGGAUGCCCGAGUUGGGGAUAUUCACAGAAGGAGAGAGGGCGAGCUCUGGGGGACCUCUUCCCACAUCCACUGUUGCUGGUGCGGGUUGUCUUGUGCCUGAAAUUCCACUUUUGUGCUCCUAAGACCUUGGCAGCCUCAUUAACUUGCCAGUGCAACCUUGCUUACCUGUUUGGAAUCCUGGGCUUAGUUCCCUGGCUCUAGCAAAGUGUUAUAGGACGCUGAGCUUCUUUGGCCGAGCCUUUGUGGCUUCCAUGGUCCCGGCCACAUUCUUUCCCUCCACUGCUAUCACCACCGUUACCAACCAAACUGCUACAGGGCCUGACAGGAAGCCAGUUUGAGAUUAGGGAACAGAUUGGGGCUUCCCCACAGGCUGGUAUUCCUUCAGGCAACUUCUUGUUGAUCCUGGAGACUCCGGUAAACCUAAUCAACAUUCCUGGGCCCCAGUGAGGCAGGCUAUUGCUUCUGGCUAUUUGCCUCAUUGUCUCCUAGCAUUGACGUCAUCAACCUUGUGAUCUUCCAGCUUGUUAUCUCUAAUAAGAUAAUAGUAUUCUACCAUCACUAGCCACUAUCACUUCUACCAACUGUUGGUCCUCUCAAGCCCACCCAGCUGCGUGACGAAAAACACCCUGCUACAGGACAGAAAGCCGCCGCUACCUCAUCUGCUUCGUUCUCCUCCUAGCCAAUCUGAGAAGCCCAACUCUCUGGGGGGCGGGGCAUGGAGCACAGCCCCCUUUUUUUUUUUGCCUUUCUUACACGUGAGCCCUUAAAACUGGCCACGUGCCAGUCAGUCAUCCUUGUCUCUGUCCAAUCCAGAGGCCGCCCCCACCCCACCCCCACUGCCUUGUCCCUCCAAAUAAUAAAAUCUCUGUGGUGAGAAUCUGGCCCACAGUAGGAAGGGCUCCCCUAUCACUUGAUGUGAUCAUGGCAACCAAGGGCCCACUGGCGUGUCUGGAGGUCCAUCUCCCAGGUGCCUCUGGAUUGUCAGGUUGACAACUAACACCAGCUACCACAAUUACUUUAUUUAUUUCUGAGUUUGAGAUUGUUUUGUUUUGUUUUGUUUUGUUGAGACAGGGUCUCUCUAUGUAGUCUUGGCUGCCCUGAACUGUCGAUGUAGAGCAAGCUGACCUCAAACUCACAGAGACCCACCUCCCUCUGAUUCUCAAGAGCCAGGAUUAAAAGCAUAUAUUACCACACCCAGCUGACUUCUUUUCUAUAUCUCACAAUAUGAAACUUCUGUCAGGCAGAUAAUUUGCAAAUGUUUUUCUCAAUUUGUGGUUGCCUUUUUAUUUAUUUGAUAAUGUUCUUUGAAGACAAAGUCUUUUAAUUUUUAAUUCACCGAAUUAUUGAUCUACUUUAUUUACUUAUAUUUAUGUGAUGUGUGUAAGACAAUGUUUCCUGACUUACUCCAAUUGCUAUGUCAGGAUUGCUAAGCUUACUCCAGUGCUCCCGUCUAAGAAUUUUACAGUUUAAGUUCAAUUCUAAGUAUUUUACAGAUCUUAACACUUACACCAUAAUCUACUUAAACUAAUUUUUACUUAAGACCUAAAGUGAAAACUCUAGGUCCUGUGCAUAUCUCAUUAUUUCCAACGCAUUAUUUGUUUAAAAUAAUUCUAUUUUCCUUUCUUGAUUCUCUUGACUGAAAAACCGAGUGGAUCCCAUUUUGACUCUUGUGUUGAUCCAUAUGCCCAUCCUUUUGCCAACACAGUUACUAUCUUACUACCAUAUGUAAGUUUGCAUGUGUGGGAGUGCACAUGGUCUGGGAGGCUAGAGGUCAACCCCUAGGGUGUUGUUCAGGGGCCAUCAGUCUUGGGCUUUGGGGAUAUGGGCCUCUAACAAGCUAGAAACUCUUGGGAUGGCUAGAGUUAAUUAUCAACCUAACAGACUCUAGACUCUGCCCUCCCAGUGUUGGGGUAAAGAGCAUGUGCCAGAACACUCGAAUCUUUAGGUCCCAAGGAAUGAACUCACUUCCUCAUGAUCUGUAGGCAAGCGCUUUACCAACUGAGCCAUCUCGAUAGCCCAUAAAGUAUCUUCUGAAACCAGAAAGCAUGAGCCUCCUAAGCCUUCUUCAAGAUUAUCUGAGAUAUUCUGAGCCCCUUGCAUUUCUAUGUGAAUUUUAGAAUCAAUUUGCCAAUUACUGAGUGGUGGGGAGACCCAACUAGGACUUAGCCUGUGAUCACACUGAAUCUGUAGAUCUAGAUGAGGUACUUGUACACCCUCAUUCACUGUGAGAGCAAUUGAGUGUAGCAUAUUUAAUUUAUGUAUGUAAUUAUGGAAUGAUCAAACAAAAUUAAUAUUUGUAAGUAUUAUUUACAUAGAAAAAAAUCCAAAUAAUACAAAGAAAAAGUAGUAGAAUUAUUAAGAGUUUACCAAAUUUGCUGGCUACAAGUUCAAUAUAAAAGGAAGCAAUACCGUUUAUAUCAAGGGGGCUGUAUACAAGGUCAACAUACAAAAAUCAAUUAUAUCAUAUAUACUAGUAUUUUAGUUAGGGUUUCUAUUGCUAUGAUGAAAACACCAUGACCAAGAAGCAAGUUGGAGAGGAAAGGGUUUAUUCAAUUUAAAUUUCCAGAUCAUGUAGUCCAUCACUGGAGGAAGUCAGGACAGGAACUCACACAGGGCAGGAACCUAGAGGCAGGAUCUGAUGCAGAGGCCAUGGAAGGGUGCUGUUUACUGGCUUGCUUCCCUGGCUUGCUCAGCCUGCUUUCUUAUAGAACCCAAGACCACCAGCCUAAGGAUGGCACCACCCACAAUGGACUGGGCCCUCUCCGAUUGAUCAUGAAUUGAGAAAAUGCCUUACAGCUGGCCUCAACUAAGGCUUCUUUCUCUUUGAUAACUCUAGCUUGUGUGUCAAGUUAACACACAAAGUCAGCCAGUACAACUAGCAAUAAACAAUCUGUUUUGUUUUGAUUUUUGAGACAGGGUAUCUCUGUGUAGCCCUGGCUGACCUGGAACUCAUUCUGUAGACCAGGUUAGCCUCUGCUUCCUGGAUGCUGGGAUUAAAGGCGUUCACCACCACCACCCAACUAGACAGACUCACACAAACACGUAACAAUUCAAUUUAUAGUAAGGUCUCGCUGGCCUUUUCCUUUCUCAUGGUCUCUCUGCUUCUGGGCUCACAGGAGGCAAGCAGCUCUGCCUCUUUGAAGCCCUUUCUGCCGAGCUGUGUUUCCCCACAGACCCACAACAGUGGUACCAAACAAUCACGGGUCCAAAGAAAUCUUUCCUCUUUCUAAGUUGGUUUGCUCAGGGGGUUAGUGCCACAGUGAUGGGGAAAAAUGACUAACGGAAGGAAUGUAUCCUGAACUUCUCUACCUGCACACCUGUUAAUAGUAUCAUAUAGUCUUUCUUUUAGCUUUUUAGAUGGAGAACCAAUUUACUGACUGGUGUCUUGGUAACACAGUAACAUCCCAACCUUACAUUCUGUGGGUAAAUGCAACUUUGUCCCCUUACAUUAUUUUUAUGCUUUGUUGAGUCUGCUACAGUAGCAUUUUUUGAAAGGAUGCUUUUUGGGGGAGAUUAUGUUCCUGGGAUAGUGGCCUCUAGUUUUCUCUCCUUAUAAUUUGUCAGGUCAUGGUGUCCGGGUUAUGGUAUCACCUCCGAAGGAAAAGUGUUUCUUCUUUUGGAUAUUGGAAAUAUUUUUUGUUUUUCUCUUUCUAGAAGAAGGCUAAUAGGUACUGGAAUUGCUUAUUUCUAGAUUAAUUAGUAGCUUAGAUCUAGAGAUUUCUUUAUGGCAAGCC
rnacentral:lncRNA from 1 species